rnacentral:rRNA from 1 species
GACGAACGCUGGCGGCGUGCUUAACACAUGCAAGUCGAGCGGUAAGGCCCUUUCGGGGGUACGACGAGCGGCGAACGGGUGAGUAACACGUGGGUGACCUGCCCUCAGCUCUGGGAUAAGCCUGGGAAACCGGGUCUAAUACUGGAUAUGACUCCAUGACGCAUGUUGUGGGGUGGAAAGCCUUGUGCGGCUGAGGAUGGGCCCGCGGCCUAUCAGCUUGUUGGUGGGGUGANGGCCUACCAAGGCGACGACGGGUAGCCGGCCUGAGAGGGCGACCGGCCACACUGGGACUGAGACACGGCCCAGACUCCUACGGGAGGCAGCAGUGGGGAAUCUUGCGCAAUGGGCGAAAGCCUGACGCAGCGACGCCGCGUGAGGGAUGACGGGCCU